AGAAGCAAGGCCCCUCGAAACAUAUUGUUUUAAACUUUGGUAGAGAUGCACGAAUGCAUUUACUACAUGUAAAAGUCUAAAGAAUUUUAGUUUGGAGAAGAACAAGAUAUCUGAAACUACAAGACUUACCGCCUCCUGAUGGUGCUUGUGCUACAGUUGGGAGCGCAGCGGACCGCCUCCGGACACCGGCACUCCUUGCGCGUCGAGCGCCAGCCGGCAGCACAGGGCCGCCGCGCGGCCCGGCACUUGGUUGUAUGCCAUGACGAUUGACGGCGGCGGCGCCGAGCCCGCGCGCGCGGGUCAGGGGAGGCGGAUGCGGGGUCGACGUGGGGUAGGGGCGGCGGCGGCGGCUGCCGGCUCGGCAGCGUGCGCUUGCGCAGAGGUCAGGUGCGUACGUGAGGUGGUCGAUGAAAUGCCUGGCUCAGGCAGUCAGCCGUAAAUUCUUCUCCCGGAUUUUUUGUUGUUUUUUCAAGGAAGGUCGCGAUCCGAUUCAUCUAUUCGCGUGGUGCUUUUCAACCGCGAUGCCAAAUCUGAAUAGAAGCACAAGAGUUUGGAAAUUGAAAUCUCAUCUUACUUCUGAAGGAGUCUUGAGAGUUUCUGAAAUACAAAUCAAAUCUGGACUCUGGAUUGGUUGCAUGAGGUUUGGGGCCUACAUUCACGCCGUGUUGAUACUCUACAAAUCUGGGGGUGAAGGUUUGUGGGUUGAAUCGGGUGAUUCUCCGGUCUACGGUUCUACAGAUUAUUCUGACUGAUCACAACAUUGUUACUUCUCUGUUGGACUCUCACCUCUCGGGUUGAGUCAACAAGGAAAUCUUUUGCUGCAAGAAUCCGAUGCAGUACAUCUGGGUUGAUCUUGGUCGUGCUUCACCACAAAUAAGCUAGGGAGGUACAUGAAUCGCUCAUUAUCCUAUAUAUGAUAUGAUCACUCCAGCUUGAGCUUGAAAUUCAUGUUAGUUUAGCCUUAAUUACACAAUCAUGAUACUUUAAAAGUAUUGACAUUGAUGAAUGCGAUUGUACACUGUCACUGUUUCUUCCAA